UACGUAGGGGGCAAGCGUUGUCCGGAUUUAUUGGGCGUAAAGAGCGUGUAGGCGGCUUUACAGGUCCGUUGUGAAAACUCGAGGCUCAACCUCGAGACGCCGGUGGAAACCGUAAGGCUAGAGUCCGGAAGAGGAGAGUGGAAUUCCUGGUGUAGCGGUGAAAUGCGCAGAUAUCUGGAAGAACACCAGUGGCGAAGGCGGCUCUCUGGGACGGUACUGACGCUGAGACGCGAAAGCGUGGGGAGCGAACAGG
rnacentral:rRNA from 1 species